GGCCGCGAUGGUUUAAUGGUAGCACGCGUCCCCGGUAUGGACGAAAAGCGGGUUCAACUCCCGUCUGAGGUCG